UACGGGGGCGAGCGUUGUUCGGAAUUACUGGGCGGUAAAGGGACGCGUAGGCGGCACGGAUAGUUGGGUGUGAAAGACCCGGACGCUUAACUCCGGAAUGUCACUCAAUACUUCCGAGCUAGAGUGUGGAAGGGGCAAUCGGAAUUCUUGGUGUAGCGGUGAAAUGCGUAGAUAUCAGGAAGAACACCUGUGGCGAAGGCGGAUUGCUGGGC
rnacentral:rRNA from 1 species